rnacentral:rRNA from 1 species
GACGAAGGAUGCAAGCGUUAUCCGGAUUCAUUGGGUUUAAAGGGAGCGUAGGUGGCCUUAUAAGUCAGUGGUGAAAUCUCUGGGCUUAACCCAGAAAUUGCCAUUGAUACUGUAGGGCUUGAGUACAGUUGCUGUGGGCGGAAUAUGACAUGUAGUGGUGAAAUACAUAGAGAUGUCAUAGAACACCGAUGCGAAGGCAGCUCACAAAACUGUAACUGACACUGAGGCUCGAAAGUGCGGGGAUCAAACAGG